rnacentral:rRNA from 1 species
UAUGUAGGGUGCGAGCGUUAAUCGGAAUUACUGGGCGUAAAGCGUGCGCAGGCGGUUCGUGAUGUCUGGUGUGAAAGCCCCGGGCUUAACCUGGGAAUUGCAUUGGAAACUAGCGGGCUGGAGUGUGGCAGAGGGGGGUGGAAUUCCACGUGUAGCAGUGAAAUGCGUAGAGAUGUGGAGGAACACCGAUGGCGAAGGCAGCCCCCUGGGCUAACACUGACGCUCAUGCACGAAAGCGUGGGGAGCAAACAGG